AUUGAACGCUGGCGGCAGGCCUAACACAUGCAAGUCGAACGAACCUUUCGGGGUUAGUGGCGGACGGGUGAGUAACACGUGGGAACGUGCCUUUAGGUUCGGAAUAACUCAGGGAAACUUGUGCUAAUACCGAAUGUGCCCUUCGGGGGAAAGAUUUAUCGCCUUUAGAGCGGCCCGCGUCUGAUUAGCUAGUUGGUUGAGGUAAUGGCUCACCAAGGCGACGAUCAGUAGCUGGUCUGAGAGGAUGAUCAGCCACAUUGGGACUGAGACACGGCCCAAACUCCUACGGGAGGCAGCAGUGGGGAAUCUUGCGCAAUGGGCGAAAGCCUGACGCAGCCAUGCCGCGUGAAUGAUGAAGGUCUUAGGAUUGUAAAAUUCUUUCACCGGGGACGAUAAUGACGGUACCCGGAGAAGAAGCCCCGGCUAACUUCGUG
rnacentral:rRNA from 1 species